AUGGUCUUAGCUUGCUAAGGCCGAUGGCGACCGGCGCACGGGUGAGUAACACGUAUCCAACCUGCCGUCUACUCUUGGACAGCCUUCUGAAAGGAAGAUUAAUACAAGAUGGCAUCAUGAGUCCGCAUGUCCGCAUGAUUAAAGGUAUUUUCCGGUAGACGAUGGGGAUGCGUUCCAUUAGUUUGUUGGCGGGGUAACGGCCCACCAAGACUACGAUGGAUAGGGGUUCUGAGAGGAAGGUCCCCACAUUGGAACUGAGACACGGUCCAAACUCC
rnacentral:rRNA from 1 species